UUUCUAUAGAAGAAAAGGCAAAAUCAAUCUAAUUUUCAUUUGUAGCCACUAGCUAGAAGCUCUGUGGCAUGAACUACAAGCAGCAACUACAAGUGAAGAAAAAGUAAAGUCUAUGUUGCUUUUCACUUGGGGACUCUUUAACCCUACAUUCUAAAAAAUGGUAUCAAUGGACGAAUACAACCCCUCUCUAAGAAGAACCACCAAAGAAGAUUUUUUUUUUUUUUUCCCCU